ACCCUCCGCCACUCAGCCGACCAACCCGCUGCGGGAGCCGGCGGAGGAAGUGAAGUCUACCUCUAUCUCCUUUCCCUCCCUUCCCCACCCCUGGUCUCUCCCAAAGAAGUAGGUUCUUAGCCUGUGAUGCCAAGGACCCCUUUGGCGGCCAGCUGGAGCCUGGGCGCUCUUCUUUGAGUAAUGGCUUUUAAUGCGCAAACUAGAAAGUUUAGGAUUACAAAGAAAACCGGUUCUUUUCACAUACGGUUAUCCUUGUGAUGUACCAUUCCGCUUGACAGUGGAAGUCGUUCAAUAUCAGAGAGAAACAGUAUCUAUGAAACUAGAGAGGCUGCUCAGAUGACUGCAAACCAGCCAUCCUUACUGGUUUUACCAGUAGUAGUGUUAUAAAGAAAGUUGUCCAAUUUCAUGAAUCUUGUAGGUUUGGUUUUUUGUUUUUCAAAUACAGUACUGUACAAAAAGGAAGCGGAAUGUGGUUGCAGUCUUAAUGUAAUGCCUCUCUGGGCCUGAGAAUUUGAAAAGGUUCACACUCCUCAUAAAAGUUCUCUUCUUCGCCGGGACGGACAGUGGCUCACGCCUGUAAUCCCAGCAUUUUGGGAGGCCGAGGCGGGUGGAUCACCUGAGGUCAGGAAUUCGAGACCUGC
rnacentral:lncRNA from 1 species